rnacentral:lncRNA from 1 species
UACGAUAACAACGAUGCUAUAGCCCUCGCUAAGGAGUCCAGAUCUCAUCAGAAGUCCAAAUAUAUAGAGCAGCAGUUUUACAUCAUACAUGAAUACCUCGAGAAGAAGUUCGUUGAGGUGCAGAGAGUCAACUCUAAAUAUAUAAAGUGGCGGUUCCACAUCAUACAUAAAUAUCUUGAGAAAAAAUUUGUUGAGGUACUG